GUGUGGAGGAGGAAGAGAGCUGCGCAGAGGGAAAUGGAGUCGUGCACCUGGCUUAGCGGGAACUUUGCCUAAUUAGAUGCGGCUCUGGAGGCCCUGAACUAUCAUUUGGAACUUUGUACCUGGAGGCUGAAUCCUGAGAACAUUCUCUGCUUCCUAGGGAAGAUUCGCCCUUCCUUUGUAGCCUUUUCACCCGCUAUUUUCUCACUGAUGAAAUCUUGAAUGGCAGACUUGGCCGUAUCUGCAUCAUCUU